CUGGCUGAUGCUGCCAGUAGCAUAUUCUUGUCCCAAAGAUUAGGCCAUGCAAAUCUUAGUACACACGCGCGGUACAAUGAAACUGUGAAUCGCUCAUUAAAUCAGUUAUGGUUUCUUUGAUCGACCAAAGGUUACUUGGAUAACUGUGGCAAUUCUAAGAGCUAACAAGUGCUGACCUUCAGGGACACGUGCAUUUUUCUGACUCAAAACCCAUACAAGGUACUUUCGGGUGACUGUUUUACUUUUUACACCCUCGUGGCAACUGGCGUCUCUCAUUUGAAUGUCUGCCCUAUCAACUUCCAAUGGUCGUUUCUGUGCAUACCAUGGUGACCACUGUGUUUUUUAAAUUUAACCUUUAUUUAACUAGGCAAGUCAGUUAAGAACAAAUUCUUAUUUAUAAUAACGGUCUAGGAACAGUCGGUUAACUGCCUUGUUCAGGGGCAGAACGACAGAUUUUUACCUUGUCAGAUCGGGGAUUCGAUCUAGCAACCUUUCGGUUACUGGCCCAACACGAACUACUAGGCUACCCUGCCGCCGGGUAAAGGAGAAUCACGGUUCGAUUCCAGAGCGAGCCUGAGAAACGGUUACCAUAUCUAAGAAAGGCAGCAGGCACAGAGUCCCUGUUAUUGGAAUAAGUACACUUCAAAAUGCUUUAAUGAGGACCGAUUACUGAUGUUUAAAAGUAUUUU
rfam:Salmo salar isolate Sally breed double haploid chromosome ssa22, whole genome shotgun sequence.